AAUUGAUAGUUAGCUAAAACAUAAUUGUCAAUGAACACCAAAUGUUUAAUCAAAUUUUUUUGCAAUUUUUACCGAGAUAGGAUUAUUGAAUUGAUGUAUUUUUAUUCGAGGAAACGUUUCUAUAUAUUCGUAUUGAUACACACUUUGUUACAAUGUCUCAUACAUAUAUGUAUACGUUUCACAUAAGUUAAUUUUACAGUGUCCUAAUAUUUACAAUUGCGCGAUAAUUGUUUUAUGUACAACAACGAAUGUUUAUGUUAAAAUAAAAUAGAUAAAAUAAAUAAUCAUUUUGCAAAAAUAUCCGUCAUUGAUAGUAGAACGAGUUGACAUCUGUCUAUCGAAUAAAGAUUGUCCGAUACAAUAAUUCCAUUUAUUAUUUUUUAAUUUUCAAAUAGGUCUUGAUAUUAGAAAAACAAUUUCGAAAAAUUGGCAAUCAGUGUGAACGAAUUCAUUAUCCAAAUUACAACUUUGUUAUUUUAUUCUUCGAUUAAGUUACAACGGCCCCGGUUCGCAACUCAUUCUACAUCAUAUAAUCUUGUUACAAAUAAAGAAAGAUUGAUUCUGCUAUCGAUUUCGUUUCGCAAAGUUUCGUUCGACGACGACUUGACAAAUAUAUUUUUUCUGCCGCUUGUAAGUAAUAUACGAUCGCAUUUGUGAUAAUUUUACCUUAACUUUCAUUCCAUCUAAACUGUGCGUGUUACUGCGAAUGCGUUUGCGAAUCGUAACGAUUUUCUUUGCGUCUCUCGUGUACGUAAUUAACGAUGACUGGAAGAACAUUACGCUCCUUCGAUAUUGUAAUUUUUUUUUCCUCGAAGAACACACACGUAUUAUUUUCC